rnacentral:rRNA from 1 species
UACGUAGGGUGCAAGCGUUAAUCGGAAUUACUGGGCGUAAAGCGUGCGCAGGCGGUUAUGCAAGACAGAUGUGAAAUCCCCGGGCUCAACCUGGGACCUGCAUUUGUGACUGCAUGACUAGAGUACGGCAGAGGGGGAUGGAAUUCCGCGUGUAGCAGUGAAAUGCGUAGAUAUGCGGAGGAACACCGAUGGCGAAGGCAAUCCCCUGGGCCUGUACUGACGCUCAUGCACGAAAGCGUGGGGAGCAAACAGG